AUACGGAGGGUGCAAGCGUUAAUCGGAAUUACUGGGCGUAAAGAGUACGUAGGCGGUUUGUUAAGUUAGAUGUGAAAGCCCCGGGCUUAACCUGGGAACUGCAUUUAAAACUGGCGAACUAGAGUUGAGUAGAGGGGAGUGGAAUUUCAGGUGUAGCGGUGAAAUGCGUAGAGAUCUGAAGGAACACCAGUGGCGAAGGCGACUCCCUGGACUCGAACUGACGCUGAGGUACGAAAGCGUGGGUAGCAAACGGGAUUAGAAACCCUAGUAGUCC
rnacentral:rRNA from 1 species